rnacentral:rRNA from 1 species
UGGGGAAUAUUGCACAAUGGGCGCAAGCCUGAUGCAGCCAUGCCGCGUGAGUGAAGAAGGCCUUAGGGUUGUAAAACUCUUUCACCAGGGAAGAUAAUGACGGUACCUGGAGAAGAAGCCCCGGCUAACUCCGUGCCAGCAGCCGCGGUAAUACGGAGGGGGCUAGCGUUGUUCGGAAUUACUGGGCGUAAAGCGCACGUAGGCGGAGCGGUCAGUCAGAGGUGAAAUCCCGGAGCUCAACUUCGGAACUGCCUUUGAUACUACCGUUCUAGAGUCCGAGAGAGGUGAGUGGAAUUCCUAGUGUAGAGGUGAAAUUCGUAGAUAUUAGGAAGAACACCAGUGGCGAAGGCGGCUCACUGGCUCGGUACUGACGCUGAUGUGCGAAAGCGUGGGGAGCAAACAGGAUUAGAUACCCCCGUAGUCC